AUGAGCGCCGCGGCUGAUUUUUCGCCCUCUGUAGCGAUUGUUGGAACUUGAGAGUCUCCCUGGUCUCCCUCGUCGCCUCCUAGCCGGGCUGCCGGACGGACCACCGGGUGCCUUAGUUGCAUUAGCCAGCGUAGAUGGUGACCUGAUCUGCACGCUGUCCGAUCGUCUUUCUGCAGUCUGUGUGACGGCCAGGGAAAUCCGAGCGGCUACCGACGUGGACACCAGCUAGGAAACGGAGACGACGCCAGGAGUGCAGACGCCCAAGCAGGAUGGGGCCUGUGCAGUGGACCUCAUGAACUCGUGCAGUGUGCUCAAAUUAGGAUGUCUGCACGACAAAGACCAUCUGCCACCUGUAGGAUGGAACGGGACCUCAUAUGACACGGUUCAUUUAGCAAGAUGGCAUCCUCGGACAACAGUGGAACCACUGUAAGAUUUUAGUUUAUUUCUCUUCC